rnacentral:rRNA from 1 species
UGGAGAGUUUGAUCCUGGCUCAGAGUGAACGCUGGCGGCGUGCCUAACACAUGCAAGUCGAACGAUGAAGUCCUUCGGGAUGGAUUAGUGGCGCACGGGUGAGUAAUGCAUAGAUAAUGUGCCCCUUAGUUCGGGAUAGCCACUGGAAACGGUGAUUAAUACCGGAUACUCCUUCUUGUCUCAAGGCAAGUCGGGAAAGUUUUUCGCUAAGGGAUCAGUCUAUGUUCCAUCAGGUAGUUGGUGAGGUAAUGGCUCACCAAGCCUAUGACGGAUAUCUGGUUUGAGAGGAUGAUCAGACACACUGGAACUGAGACACGGUCCAGACUCCUACGGGAGGCAGCAGUGAGGAAUAUUGCACAAUGGAGGAAACUCUGAUGCAGCAACGCCGCGUGGAGGAUGACGCAUUUCGGUGUGUAAGCUCCUUUUAUUAGGGAAGAUAAUGACGGUACCUAAUGAAUAAGCACCGGCUAACUCC